AGUGAACGCUGGCGGUAGGCCUAACACAUGCAAGUCGAACGGCAGCACAGUAAGAGCUUGCUCUUACGGGUGGCGAGUAGCGGACGGGUGAGGAAUACAUCGGAAUCUACUUUUUCGUGGGGGAUAACGUAGGGAAACUUACGCUAAUACCGCAUACGACCUCCGGGUGAAAGCAGGGGAUCUUCGGACCUUGCGCGAUUGAAUGAGCCGAUGUCGGAUUAGCUAGUUGGCGGGGUAAAGGCCCACCAAGGCGACGAUCCGUAGCUGGUCUGAGAGGGUGGUCAGCCACACUGGAACUGAGACACGGUCCAGACUCCGACGGGAGGCAGCAGUGGGGAAUAUUGGACAAUGGGCGCAAGCCUGAUCCAGCCAUACCGCGUGGGUGAAGAAGGCCUUCGGGUUGUAAAGCCCUUUUGUUGGGAAAGAAAAGCAGCAGGUUAAGACCCCGCUGUUCUGACGGUACCCAAAGAAUAAGCACCGGCUAACUUCGUG
rnacentral:rRNA from 1 species